GUAGACUUUGGCUUAUUUUUUACUUUCUUCUUAGUAACUUUCCAUAUUUAAUUAUUUUAUGUAAAUAAUAAAUACAUUAUUCUUUUCAAUAAAACCUAAGAGCUGUGAUUUUUAAAAUAUUUUAAUGCAAGUAUUGGGCAUUUGAAUGAGUUUGUGUGCAGUGCAAUUUAAUCCAUUAGUAACCUUGCUCCCAAGUUAUACUCUAUAUUGGAACAAUCAAGAGCUCAGGUGUAAUUACAAUCACAUCGGGCUCCAAAUCCCAGCCCAGUUUAAUGAAUAAGACCACUACCACAACCACCACGACCACACACACACACACACACACACACACACACACCCUCCUCGCCAUUUGGGACUGGUAUUCACUCAGUGAUUUCUGCAGCCCGAGAAGAAAAAAAAUACUGCUCCUUCAUUUCUGGGAGGCCUUACAUUAUUGUUAUUUCUCACUGUUACGUUUCUGCUACAACUAACGAAAGGAGAAUUCUCUCACUUCUUUCAAAAAAUCUUCAAUAAUCCAACCACCAAGGAUUUAGAAGUUCGCCUCAUUUUUUCAGGGUCCUUUUGGUAAGGAAACCAUUGAGGUUCCCAAGGUCGGCACUAUAGGGCCAUUUAAAUCAAGAUACAGUUAGAAUACAGGACCUACUAAGAAGCAUUAAAUUUUCAAGGCCACCCUUACCAGCCUUGAACUAUCAUUCUGAGACACAUUUAAUGUACCUUUCCUUCUGCCCAGGAAGAGAUACGAAGUCUAGGUAUGAAUCCUACUCCUGACAUUUACUGAGUAUGUGACUUGGGCACAUGGCUUAACUUCAGUGCAUCUUAUUUCCUCACCUGUAAAAUGGAAAUAUGUUCUGGAAUGGUGAGGAUUAAAUGAGAUAACUGAAAAUGACUAGCACAAUAUCUUACCCCUAACAAGUAGGAAUUUAUUCAAUCUUUCCAGGCCUAACUUUCCUACCUUAUCAUUCUGAGUUCCUUCCUUACUUUCCUUAAAUACCUUAAAUACUGUCCUUGCUAUUCUAUUAUUUCCUCUGUUCUACCACUUGUUUUCUUUUCUUUGCUCUCUCUCUUUGUUUAUUCCGCUCCCAGAUCAUCAGGUAGCCUUCUUGUCACACUAAUUUCCUAGUGAAUUCUAAUCCUGAGCUCCUGAGGAACUGACCUAUCUGUUACCAACUCCUUCCAACAAUUUUCCCAGGAAGUAUAGGAAAUCCAAUAGAAAUAUAAAACAGGAAGUCUAGAUCUGGUAUUCUAUGGGGCCUGAGAUAAAUAACUGCAUUAAACACCAUAAAUCAUAGUUAUCUGCACAAAGUUAAAGGAAAAGCUGCCAAUAUUUUGAUUCUGUUCAAGAGCUAACAAAGAAAAAAUAAAAUCUGUAAAAUAUUUGAUAUAAAAUUAAUAUCAAAUCUGAGCUAGUUAACAUGGAAAUAUUAGCAAUAUAAUUAAUACAUAUCUGCAAAUAAUUAAUGACUGAUUGAUGUGUUUACAAUUAAUGUAAUGCCUGUAGCCCUAGAUAUUCAGGAGGCUGAGGUGGGAGGACCACUUAAGCUCAGGAGUUCAAGGCUGCAGUGACCUAUGAUUGAGCCACUGAACCCCAGCUUGAGUGACACAGCAAGAUCCUGUCUCUAAAAAUAUAAAUUUUAAAAUUAAAAAAAGGAGG
rnacentral:lncRNA from 1 species